ACUACAGACGUCACAGCAAACAAGAGUUCAGGCGGGGAGCUGUUUGAGCGGAUUGUAGAUGAGUUUUAAUCACGCAGAUCCUGGAGGGAAUCCCAGUACAUGCAUGGGGAAAAACAUCGUCCACCUCGACCUGAAGCCAGAAAACAUUGUCUGUGUGAACGCCGCCGGGACGCUCCUCGAGAUCAUUGACUUUGUGCUGGCCUGCAAACUGGUCUUAAGAGAGAACCCCAGACUUCACUCUCCCCAGACACUUCCUUCGGCAGGA
rnacentral:lncRNA from 1 species